UUGGGACUACGGGGCGCAGCAGUGAGGAAUAUUGGUCAAUGGGAGAGAUCCUGAACCAGCCACGCCUCGUGAAGGAAGACGGCCCUAUGGGUUGUAAACCUCUUUUGUCGGAGAACAAAACCCGGGACGUGUCCCGGACUGCGUGUAUCCGAAGAAAAAGCAUCGGCUAAAUCCGUGCCAGCAGCCGCGGUAAUACGGAGGAUGCGAGCGUUAUCCGGAUUUAUUGGGUUUAAAGGGUGCGUAGGCGGUCCGUUAAGCCAGCGGUAAAAUUGCGGGGCUCAACCCC
rnacentral:rRNA from 1 species